rnacentral:lncRNA from 10 species
UUUUGUUCCUUAUAUCACCCACGGAGCCCAUUUCCAAAUAGGAGAAGUUUGUGUAUGGAAAACGUGGAGGAAAGCUCAUCCUUAUUGUCAUACUUUUGUUCCCCUUUGGGAGUUUCUUGCCCAUGUGACCAAGAAUUGGCCAAAGUCACAGACAUUUUUAGCAGCAACUCUUGGGAAGAAUGUGAUUGACUUGUCAGGAUUUCUCAGUAGGUGCAUUUCAUUUGGUUUUUGCUAAGAAUUGGUUCCAAUGGUCAAUGGAUUUACCACAUUGAAAUGACCCUGAAUAACACCUUCCUUGUAGGCAUAUUUGCAAUUUCUUCUAAGCCCAAACUAUCUUCCACAUCAACACAGCUCUGGCAGUAUCACAGUGAAGGGUCACUCCUUUGUGUUUAUUUUCUUUGAAUGCUAGAGGUCAGGUAACCACUGUCAGAAUCCUGACACUAUUAUCUGCCUGCAGAAAAACUGAUUGUGCCUUGGGGGAGAUAUAUUUUGGGAGCUGUGAUAUGGCUAAAGCACUGGCCUGAGGUGCCUGAAAAGUUGUGGCUAAAAUUGGAGAAGGGAGAAAAGUGAUUAAAAAAUAAAUAAAUAAAGCUGAGCAGUGCUAGAGAUAGACAUUGUUUUGGAAUCAGAAAGACCUGGAUGGAAAUCCCAGCUCAUAAACUUUAGACGUGUAGCUUCAGACAAAUUACUUAACCCCUCUAAAGCUGAUUUCUUCAUCAUCUGCAUAGUUGGAAUUCUAAUUGCCCCUAGGUUAUAGAAUUGCUGUUUUGUUUUGUUUUGUUUGAGACAGAGUCUCACUCUUCUGUCACCCAGACUGGAGUGCAGUGGCAUGAUCUCGGCUUGCUGCAGCCUCUGCCUCCUGGGUUCGAGCCAUUUUCAUGCCUCAGCCUCCCAAGUAGCUAAGAUUACAGUCGUGCAUGACCACGCCACCUAAUUUUUAUAUUUUUAGUAGGGAUAGGGUUUUGCCAUGUUGGCCAGACUGGUCUCCAACUUUUGGCUUCAAAUGAUCUGCCCGGCUUGGCCUCAAAAUGCUGGGAUUACAAGCGCGAGCCACUGCACCUGGCCUGCUGUGAUGUUUUAGUGAAACGAUGGAUACAAAGGAAUUGAUGUGUAAAACUGAUGCUGUGAGUAUGAGCUGUGCAGCUGGAAUGAAGAACACUGAAAUUAUACACCUCCCUCAAAACAUCCAAGGUCUCUUUCUUCUACACUAACUUGCUGAUGAUUAUAAGUAAAG